CAAACACGGCAGAACUGACAUGUCCAUCGCGAAGUUGCCAGUUUUAGUAUUGCCCAUAGAGCUGAUUGAGGUCUGAGACUGAGGCCAGGGUGUGGGCGGCCCCAAAGGUGGUGAUGGGGGUAAUUGGUGGUGGUGGUACCUGGCGCAAACCUAUCUCUGUGUCUGAGCAGGUGUGUGCGAAGUGCGGACGGCGCUUGCUUGGUAACGGGCAGCGCUGCCUAGAAGUUGUGAUUCCGUUUGGUGGCUCGCGUGCCCGCGACGUCCAAGUGUGCCAGCACUGCGGGACUGUGUGGGUAAGUGGGAUGGCAGGUUUGGGGCGGCAGGUCGGUUUGGAGAUGAUGACACGGGAUGACACGGGAUGACACAGGGCGGUUUGAAGAUGAUACGGGGUGACACAAGGGAUGACACACGCCCUGUUUGCAUGUUGAACUGCAGGGCCGCGACGCCAACUCGGCUACAAACAUGCGGCACGCGCUGAUGGAGAUGCUGCUUGGCAAACCGCGGCCUGCAGCCCUGCGACCUGCUGGCGGCGGUGGCGGUGCAGGGCCUGGCGGCAGCGGUGGCGGUGGCGGUGGCGGCGGUGCAGGGCCUGGAGACGGCGGUGGCGGCGGUGGUGGCACCGCGCCUACCGGCGGCAACAGCAGCGGCCACGGCGUUGGGCCCGGUGGUGGCGGCGGCACGGGCGGCCCUGGGCCCAGCGGCAGUGGCGGCGCGCAUAUUCGGAGCAGAGGGGGCGGGCAAGGCCACGUGGAGGAGGACAGCGCGGCGCCGCCUUCAAAGCGGCGCCGGCGCGCAGGUUGAGACCUGCCGGUGUUGUCUGGUUAGCGACCUGUGCUGACGAGGAUGGCGUAGCGGGCAGUCAGCUGCAGCGGCAAGGGUGUUGAGAGGUUUUCCUUGCUGUCUGGUUGGCCUGCUGCCUGCUGCACUAGUGCUUGAUAGCUGGGCGCGACUGGGCACAUAUGGCGGGCGGUGCCUGUACAAACCGACCCCGGCUAUGUCCGGGAGAUGAGGCUAGUAUCGGAACCUUCGGCCUCAGACGGAGGACGUGGCGUGGGCUCAGCCCACUUUUCCCUUGCGAGGGAGAGCCACCUUUUCUUGUUGAUUCUGGUACGGGGGGUUAGAAAGCUCAGGUUCUUACCCCAUGCUCAAAAUUACAGAGCUUUAGGAGAGCAUUAUGCACGUGCUUUUAGUUCAGUCAGGGGGUGCCUGGUGAGGUAGUUCUGGGCCGCCAAAGUUGGGGGGCCGGUCGUCGUCCUGGGUAAAAGGGGGAUCCAUUCUCGAAAGUUGGGGCGGGCGCAUCUUUGCAGCGGGCUCAUCUUUUCAUUUUAUUACAGGUGCGCCACGUAAUAUUAGAAAUUGUAGAAAAAUAGGCAGCAGGGGGUCCGCCGGGUUUCGGCAGCCCAUCCUGGCGGAUUUCGGGAAGCGCCCCACAAGCAGAACUAGGGGCCACACGCAGCAGUACGAGGCUCAUAUGUGAACGUUAUGACGUAACAAGCACAAACAAAGCGUGGGAGGGGUAAGUUGCGCGUCCGGGCGUGGACAUGUCGGGACGUGUCUUCACAUCCAACACAUGCGCACUGACACAGCUGGGCUCUGAAGCGCUGGUGCGCAUGACUUCACGUGUAACAAGGCUGCCGAUGCGCAUUGUCCAUUCGUCACGCGGCAGAGAGUUGAGCCCGGGGUGGGCUGGGUCGAGGGGAUUUCCAUAGAUAGCAGGAUCCCGCCCGUGACCGAAGUCUCAGAGUAGGACCGCUGAUGGCACGGAGUGAUAGUGCUCGUUAAGAGGAGUCGAUUGACACCACUUUGGUAUAAAAUGGAGGGGUUGGCUCGCCCCCCGAAGGGGGGCGACAGCCUUAGUCCUCGACCAGAACCAUACAUUAGGGUUGUUCUCUGUUUUUCGAUUUGACUGUAUGCAAGUAGCGGCAGCUUAGGUGUAUUUGCCAAGCCAAGAAACCUUUGAAAACAUGCAACACAGAAAAACUGGUAGAAAACGCGCUCCUCCAAGGCCAAGUCCAAGGCCUGUCAGGCCUGUGGAGCCAUCAGCAUAGCCGAGCGACGCCAAAGGCAAGAAGCCACAAGCCUAGCCAAAGCCAAAGCCGAAGAAUGUCGCCUUGCCCUCGACUGGACGACGUGCUCACUGCAAAUGUGCCGCAACCGUGCUGCUGCGAUGCGCCUGAACCUCGCCCCCAGCCCCCACCAUAGCCGACGUCGCAUAGCAAGUGCAAUGCACGCACAGGCAAGGGCAGGAAGCGCAGGGCGCAAGGCGCCGAGGCGACCCAGCGGAGCGAUGUUGCCCGUGGGCCGCCGCACCGCCGCCGCCGACGGGGCGUGUGGAGGCGUGGAGCCGCAACCGUGCUGCUGCCACGCGCCUGAACCUCGCCCCCGGCCCCUACCAUAGCCAACGUGGCAUAGAUGACAAGUGCACGGCACGCACAGGCAAGGGCAGGAAGCGCAGCGCGAGCGCGGAAGUGCAAGGCCGAGGCGACCCAGCAGAGCGAUGUUGCCCGUGUAGCCCGUGGGCUGCCGCCGCCGCCGCCGGGGCGUGUGAAGCCACAACCGUGCUGCUGCAAUGCGCCUGAAUCUCGCGUCCAGCCCCCACCAUAGCUGACGUCGCACAGCAAGUGCAGUGCAUGCACAGGCAAGGGCAGGAAGCGCAGCACCAGCGCCAGGGCGUGUCAGCAUCCAGAUUUGUACCCACCCAAAACACACGCACUAACUUGGAUUUCCGCCCCCCCGUCACGCCUACCAGCUCAGCACGCUGUAACUUGCCCCGCUUGAAUGCUCUGGUGCACGUCUGUCAAUCCAGUGAUCGCUAUCCAACACCUUGCGCUCACAGCCAGCCUCGGCUACACGCCCCUAGCGCUGAAGCCUCACCUACGCACUCCCCUCAAGCGAACAAUCCGCACAAAGGGCGAGCCAUCGCGCUGCGGAGCGGGGAGGUUUUAACCCCUGAACAACAAGGUAAAUGCCGGUUGCUUAGAGCUCUACGCAUGGUCUUACACGUGCGACACGCCUGUGCUUUACCUAACGCAAGCUGCCAUCCGGCACUGUGUGCGUCCCGCCCGAUACUGUGCGCGUCCCGCACGGCACAUAAAAUAUAGUGCGUGCGCGGUAAGCCGCGGCAGCCCGUGCAACCUCCGGGCGCGGCGUGUAGCCUUGCACGCACCCCUGGGCUGGGCGCCCCCAGCGCGCGUCCGUGUGCGAGCUGUCUUGCCAUGGCGUGAUGCUGAUGACUGCACUGCAUGUAUCCAGAGGGGACUGGAGGGGUGGGGGUAGAAGUGGGAUGCAGGCGAGGGGAGGGGCGGGCUCAGGAAGUGCACGCAUGGCACGGACCGUGCACCGUGCCACGGCCCGACGUGCGACGCGUUGGUGGGGGCGCUUGCGAGCGCUGCGAGAAAUUAGAUAUACUGCAGCAUAUGUAAGGCACAUGAAUAACUGGGCAAGCUGCACUUGGUCACGCUUCAGGAGUUGUUUUCGCAAUUUACGCGCGGCCGACCUGGUCGCGAGCCGCUGAGGGUCAGGCUAAAAGUCGGCACUUUCCUGGCGUCGGUUCCUCCAUUUGUGUAUGUGCAUAUAGCUGGGUCCAAAUGACCGCAAACAAGCUGCCUUGAAGUGGGGGUAGGCCGAAUCCUGACGAAAUGCGGACCCGGCAAACAUGUCGCCAUGCCCACCCACGCGCCAGGUAUGCGCCUCGGGCCCGGCCAGGGAGCUCCUAGCACGCCGGCAUGGACACGCGUAUGAAGUAAGCAGGCAUGGGCAUUUGUGCGACCGCCGCGCGGGCGCUGGGCCCGUCUGUGCGCCCUGCGUCGUGUGGGGUGGCCGGGCGCCCGGCCACCGUGUGGCCCGGCCGUGUUGCUUCCUGGCGGCCUGAGCGCCGGUAUUGCAUGCUAUCUACGGGGGCUUAUCAUGGCCAGCCGUGCAGGGACGGCACACAGGCGCCAAGGCACGCAAGUGGCCUAUACCCCAAUGCCGCUGGCACACGCUGUCAAAGGCCCCCCAUAAACCCGGCAUGCCCCCGCACGCGCUCUGUCCGCCCCGACCCCUCGCGCCGCCCCACGUGACCUGCAAGGCUCCAGGUAUCAUCUGAAGCGGGGCGGCAGCACGCCUGAAGCCAAGGACACGCCGGGGCCGGGACUGAGGAUGCCUUGCACCUACGCCUGAGGCGCCGGCGGGAGAUAAGCAGUACGGGCGGGCGCGUGUCGGCGGCCCUAGGUUGCCCAGAGCCGCCUGCACUGCAAUGCACACACUCUAUGAUACGCAUCUGCGCCAUGGCGGCAUGCGCGAUCAGCCGCGGCCUCCCGUGCAAGCUCCGGGCGCGGUGUGUAGCCUUGCACGCACCCCUGGGCUGGGCGCCCCCAGCGCGCGUCCGUGUGCGAGCUGUCUUGCCAUGGCGUGAUGCUGAUGACUGCACUGCAUGUAUCCAGAGGGGACUGGAGGGGUGAGGGUAGAAGUGGGAUGCAGGCGAGGGGAGGGGCGGGCUCAGGAAGCAGUCGGCGGCAGGGGAGGCAAGGGCGGCAAGGGCGGCACGGGCAAGCCAAAGAUGUGCCAAGUGUGCACAGCGCGCCUGCAGCGCACAGUGCCCCGGCGGCAGGGGUCGUGUCUUGUUUUGGGGGUAAUGUCUAGCUCCAGACAAAAACGGCCGGGUGGCCGCCGUCUUUUGUCUGGGCACAUGGCGGUUUGGGGGCUUCUCCACAGGGGGGGGGUAGGAACGAACUUUUUUGACCCCAUGCCACAAAACCUCCCGGACCCCCCGACCGACCGACCGACCGACCCCCCCUGCCGUACGACCCCCCGAAACCCCCUCAGAACCCCUUAGUUUUUUGUCAGGUUGGUGCCAAUCGACUGCUCUCGGUGAGCUCUAUCGCUAUGUACAAUGAUCCGCCUUGGGAACACACUUUGGCCGACCGACAUGUGGACAUGUAGACAUGUCCAACCGUCUGCCGACAAGUAUCCUGAUAGACUGGCCUGCUAUGCAACGGCUUAUUCCGAUGUUACUUGAUAGUGCGAAAUGUGCUGACAAGUUCACCAUGCAAAACCCGGCCGGCACCGGCUUGUCCCUGACCAGUUCCCCAGGCAUCUCCCGAGAUGCCGACAUGCCGCUCCCCAAACUGCCCCAAACUAUGCACGUGUGCUGAGCCUGGGGUAUACCUACGCACGCAUCGUGGAGCUGCACCCAUUGCGCCGCGUGUUGCAGGACAGAAGCGCUAGGAACAAAACUUGGCACGAACCUGUGCAAAACUUCGUGGGACCCCAGACCGACCGACCGACCGACAACUUUGAGGGGCCAUAACUUUGCAUCCAGAAACCCAUUUUCAAUUUUGAAAGCGGAUUCGUGAUUUUCUCGUUGAGCUCUAGUAAUUUGAGGCAUGGGGUCUGUUUCGGAAGAUUCUACCCCCCCCCUGUUCUCCAUACGAAUUGAGACAAAACCCGCCCCAAACCCGGGCCAACAAAGUCUCGCCCGCCCCAGACAUUAGCCCCCGGGAGCAAUGUCUAGGAAACGGCCAAAAUGGCCAACCAAUUAAUGUCUGGAGACAUUAAGAUAGGAGCCCUGCCCGGCGGCUCGGCACAGAUUGCACGUGUGUUGGGAACAAGAAGUAGCGGAAGGGAUGAGGGGUGGAGGGUCAGUGCCGACGGUGCACGGUGCGAGGUAACGGGGCGCAGCAGGGUUGAAGUGCGCGGGGGUGCUAGUUUGGGUGUGCUGGUAUGCUGCGAUGCGUGUGCUGCGGCAGAUAAUGAGAGUAAAAGCGCGGUGGUGGAGUGGGGUGGGGGAGAAGCGUGGAGGGGUCCUUGGGUCGUCGGGUGCUUUCGAUUUGCCGAAUGCCGUGCGCAGACAUGUGUGUGACCCGGUGGUCAGUCGCUAUCCAAACUGCCAAGCAACAGGUGCUUUGGUGAUGCAAGCAAUGUAGUUGCGCAAAUGGGACGUUUGAGUGCGUUCAAAUUUGCCUUCGGCCGCGCCGCAACCUGCACCCAUUUUGCCUCAUUUGCGCGUUCUGAUGUGAAUGCCCCGCAAGCGCCACGAGUCAGAUCGAAAGGCUCUUUAAUAAAGCAGCGUCCAGAUGCCUGCGUCCAAGGAAACCAUGUGUCACCAGCAGGGACACAACCCUCACCAAAAUGGGCCACAGCCCUGCACGGCCCUCGCUCAAGUGCCCGAACACGACGUACGUGACUUUGGCUGGACCUCCAUCGGAAACGCCGCACGCGUUAGGCUUAGGAGGGCACGGAGGCACAAACUGAAAGAAAUGUCUGCUGGGCCGAGCUCCAGCUCGGCGGCUGGUAGCUCAGCAAGCUCAUUGGACCGGGACACUAAUAGGCGCCUGCUCGCCCAGCUUCAAGGGCUCUUGGCGGAAAAUCUUCAGCUGCGCCAGCGUAACCCGCAGCUGGACCAGCGUCAAGCGCAGCAGGACCAGCGUAUCGCGCAGCAGGACCAGCGUAUCGCGCAGCAGGACCAGCGUAUCGCGCAGCUGGAAGCUGCGCUAGGCCUCCAGGCGAACCCAGUAGAGCUGCCGGCCGUGGAAGCUCCGGCCCCGGAGGUGCCGGCCGGGGAAGCUCCGGCCGCGGAGGUGCCGGCCCCGGAGGUGCUGGCCGGGGAAGUGCCGGCCGCGGAAGCGGAGGUUCCGGCCGCGAAGGUGCCCGCCGCGGAGGUGCGGCGGCGCCGAGGCCUCCUGCGGUAUGUAUGCGGGGUGGCGCUUUGUGUCGUGCGGUGGUGGGGCAGCACGCGGGGCGGCGGGCGCUCGGUGCUAUAAGGGGUAGGUUCUGUGGGGGCUCAGCCCAAAAACAGCGAUGGGGUGGAGGACAGGUGCCGAAAUGGUGGCCAGUCUGUAGAGCGAGCCACACCAACGGUACAAUGUCUCCCUCGACGGGAGCGCCGACGGCCCGACGCCACCUCCUCCUAAACGAAACGUCUGCCUUUGCUCAACCCACAGGUUCUGCCGGUGCUUCUAGGCCCUAUGGCGAGAACAUGCAGGUGAGAACACCCUGGGCAGUGUGGACAGAGCGGCUUAGGCAUGGCCAUCGCCGGUCUGUCCGAACCCUCACGUCCUCCUGCUCAAAUCCAACCUCGCACCAGCGCUGCAUGACCGUGCACCAUGCGUCACAGCCGUCACAGCCGCCGUCACACCCGCUCAGCUCAGUCAGCCCGGCCUCGGUCCCGAAUCGUGGCUAGGCUGCCCGCCCUUGCCACGGCACCUGCUCCCUAUUCCCCGGCCCCCCGCCCCCGUUGUUGCAGGAGCCGGAUGUUGCACGCCGCGUUGACAUCGCGGGCCUGCAUCCUGACGCCAGCUGGCGGAGCUGCCCAGGCCGGCGGCGCUUAGCCGGCCCGUAGCCCCCGCCGCCACCGUCGCGGCUGACGGCGGCGGCGGCGGGGGCGGGGAGACCGCCGGCGUGGGCUGAUGGGGCGGUGUUGCAGGAGGAGAUGCCCGCAGCAGUGGCUGCGGGGGGCAACCGGGCGGCGAUUUCCGUCUGUGGAUAGCCCCCUGACACCUGCACUUGGACGUAGCAGGCCGCGGGGGGUCCGUGCGUCGCAACAACGGAUUGAGUUUGUGUGUCCGGGUGCAGGCACCUCCCGGGCAGCGAGGGCAGUGAGGAGGAGGAGGGCAGCAGCGAGGGCAGUGAGGAGGAGGGGGGCAGCAGCGAGGGCGGUGAUGAUGAUGAGGAGGGUUCAGGCGGCUUGACGGUCCCACCUUGGAAACAGUGCUGGAACUAGGCAAGCCCUGGCCCGACAGCCGGAGUGGGCAGGCUGGCGGCCUUGCCAGGGUCGUGACUGUGAGGCUGUGAGGCUGCGUAAGCUUGGACUGGACUUGACUGGCCUUUAUGGGCAGUACUGAAACUGGCAACUUGGCGAUGGACAUGCCAGUUCUGCCGUGUUUGGCUGAUUGAGCUGAUUGAGGUCUGAGACCAGGCUCAAUCAGCCGAACACGGCAGAACUGACAUUGUGACAUGUCCAUCGCCAAGUUGCCAGUUUUAGUAUUGCCCAUAGAGCUGAUUGAGGUCUGAGACUGAGGCCAGGGUGUGGGCGGCCCCAAAGGUGGUGAUGGGGGUGAUUGGUGGUGACCAGGGUGUGGCGGUUGUCCUCUGGGAUCGGGCUCGGCCCUUUUCGAAGACGUUCCUGCUUGUGGGCGCACGGUAACGAUUUGCAUGUUGCUUGAACUAGCCCAACAUAAUACAGCAGCGGGCUCCGGCAGCCAGCACCCAUCUGUACCACUGCCAGGUUAGCGUUGCGUGCUGCCUGAUUUGCGUGUGCGCUGUUUGUGUGCUGUGUUUGGGCAGUUGCCUAGGCCAGGUAGCUGGAUUUAAAAACCUCUUCACAUCCAACACAUGCGCACUGACACAGCUGGGCUCUGAAGCGCUGGUGCGCAUGACUUCACGUGUAACAAAGCUGCCGAUGCGCAUUGUCCAUUCGCCACGCGGCAGAGAGUUGAGCCCGGGGUGGGCUGGGUCGAGGGGAUUUCCAUAGAUAGCAGGAUCCCGC
rnacentral:lncRNA from 1 species